AUGUAACCUUGAGCCCACAGCACAGCUCUGCUGCUUGCUCUUCGUUUGCAGCUGUAUCCUUAGACAAGGCCGAUUCUCAGGGACUCCAAGCAAAGGAUUAAAAGAUUCUGAUGGCUGAAACGUCUUUGUUUCUGUGUGUUUGCGUGUGAAUGAGACUAACAUUAACACAUGGUCGUUGGUGCUUAAUAGUCACUGGAAGAGUGGAUGAAUAAAGAAGCAAACUCCCCUGCUAGAGAGCUGGCAUUUUCCCAGAAGGAGGCAAAGAAACUGAGUCUCUAGACUCUGUGUUUUUGAUACCAAUGCCGUAGAGAGGGAGAGAAUGGUAAGCUGAGGACACUGAGGUUCACAGGUGACACACAGUGGCUGGACCAGAUCUGCUGCCUUUCCCUCCAUUGCCCAUUCACUUCUGUGAAUGAUGCUGUGGACAUAAAGACUCUUUGCACGGAAGUGACAAGAAAUUCAAGUGAUGAAGCUAUGGUGACACACAAGGAAUGUCCCUGGUUGCUAUGUUUAUGCCCAGCAUCCUGAAGAUUCAGACAACUGUGAGUUGGAAGAGGAAGAGUAUGAGGUAGGUUGGCUCUUUGAAGAAGUUCAUAGUUCGAGUUCUAAGGAAAGGUCUUAUCCGCGAGGCAUGCAGGACAACUAGGUUGUCAGAGAGCUCUCUCUAUCCCAACUUGUCUGGUCCCGCAGCAAUAAGAACAACGACAAUAAUAAGGAUGCGGAAUAGGAGAACACCCCUCGGAUUAGCGUGUUGAUGAGAGAGAAGGACUGUGAACUCAUUUAUAGCAAGGUCAGAACAGAACAUAUCGUGGCCAAGCAGGAGGAGUUGGAGUCCAUGAGAGCGCCUCAGGAAUCCCUGGAAUGGAAUGAAAUGCAUUGCUGAGUUCCAGCUACAAAGCAGAGCUAGAUGUUGCAUCAUCACCAUGGGCUAGAACAUGUGAUUGCUUGAUUUGAACGAAUAAAGCAUACCAACAACGAAGUUAAGCC